rnacentral:rRNA from 1 species
UACGGGGGGAGCAAGCGUUGUUCGGAUUUACUGGGCGUAAAGGGCGCGUAGGCGGCCAGCACAAGUCAGUUGUGAAAUCUCCGGGCUUAACCCGGAAAGGUCAGCCGAUACUGCAGGGCUAGAGUGCAGAAGGGGCAACUGGAAUUCUCGGUGUAGCGGUGAAAUGCGUAGAUAUCGAGAGGAACACCUGCGGCGAAGGCGGGUUGCUGGCCUGACACUGACGCUGAGGCGCGAAAGCUAGGGGAGCGAACGGG